rnacentral:rRNA from 1 species
CACGUAGGAGGCGAGCGUUGUCCGGAAUCAUUGGGCGUAAAGAGCGCGCAGGCGGCCCGGCAAGUCGGGUGUGAAAUCCCGGGGCUCAACCCCGGGACUGCAUUCGAUACUGCCGGGCUAGAGGUAGGUAGGGGAGAUCGGAAUUCCUGGUGUAGCGGUGAAAUGCGUAGAUAUCUGGAGGAGUACCGGUGGCGAAGGCGGCAUCCUGGACCGGCAUUGACGCUGAGGAGCGAAAGCCAGGGGAGCAAACGGG